GGGGCCGUAGCUCAGCUGGGAGAGCGUCCGGUUUGCAACCGGGAGGUCGCCGGUUCGAGCCCGGCCGGCUCCA
rnacentral:tRNA from 2 species